GUAGCCUAGUGGUUAGAGUGUAGAGGAGGCAGGUAGCCUAGUGGUUAGAGGAGGCAGGUAGUCUAGUGGUUAGAGUGUAGAGGAGGCAGGUAGCCUAGUGGUUAGAGUGUAGAGGAGGUAGGUAGCCUAGUGGUUAGAGUGUAGAGGAGGCAGGUAGCCUAGUGGUUAGAGUGUAGAGGAGGCAGGUAGACUAGUGGUUAGAGUGUAGAGGAGGCAGGUAGACUAGUGGUUAGAGGAGGCAGGUAGACUAGUGGUUAGAGUGUAGAGGAGGCAGGUAGACUAGUGGUUAGAGGAGGCAGGUAGACUAGUGGUUAGAGUGUAGAGGAGGCAGGUAGCCUAGUGGUUAGAGUGUAGAGGAGGCAGGUAGCCUAGUGGUUAGAGUGUAGAGGAGGCAGGUAGACUAGUGGUUAGAGUGUAGAGGAGGUAGGUAGCCUAGUGGUUAGAGUGUAGAGGAGGUAGGUAGCCUAGUGGUUAGAGUGUAGAGGAGGUAGGUAGCCUAGUGGUUAGAGUGUAGAGGAGGCAGGUAGUCUAGUGGUUAGAGUGUAGAGGAGGCAGGUAGUCUAGUGGUUAGAGGAGGCAGGUAGCCUAGUGGUUAGAGUGUAGAGGAGGCAGGUAGCCUAGUGGUUAGAGUGUAGAGGAGGCAGGUAGUCUAGUGGUUAGAGUGUAGAGGAGGCAGGUAGACUAGUGGUUAGAGUGUAGAGGAGGCAGGUAGUCUAGUGGUUAGAGUGUAGAGGAGGCAGGUAGUCUAGUGGUUAGAGUGUAGAGGAGGCAGGUAGCCUAGUGGUUAGAGGAGGCAGGUAGACUAGUGGUUAGAGUGUAGAGGAGGCAGGUAGACUAGUGGUUAGAGUGUAGAGGAGGCAGGUAGUCUAGUGGUUAGAGUGUAGAGGAGGCAGGUAGUCUAGUGGUUAGAGUGUAGAGGAGGCAGGUAGUCUAGUGGUUAGAGUGUAGAGGAGGCAGGUAGCCUAGUGGUUAGAGGAGGCAGGUAGUCUAGUGGUUAGAGUGUAGAGGAGGCAGGUAGUCUAGUGGUUAGAGUGUAGAGGAGGUAGGUAGCCUAGUGGUUAGAGGAGGCAGAGGAGGCAGGUAGUCUAGUGGUUAGAGUGUAGAGGAGGUAGGUAGACUAGUGGUUAGAGUGUAGAGGAGGUAGGUAGCCUAGUGGUUAGAGUGUAGAGGAGGUAGGUAGACUAGUGGUUAGAGUGUAGAGGAGGCAGGUAGACUAGUGGUUAGAGGAGGCAGGUAGACUAGUGGUUAGAGUG
ensembl:lncRNA